rnacentral:rRNA from 1 species
ACGGAGGGGGCUAGCGUUGUUCGGAAUUACUGGGCGUAAAGCGCACGUAGGCGGCUUUGUAAGUUAGAGGUGAAAGCCCGGAGCUCAACUCCGGAAUUGCCUUUAAGACUGCAUCGCUUGAAUCAUGGAGAGGUGAGUGGAAUUCCGAGUGUAGAGGUGAAAUUCGUAGAUAUUGGGAAGAACACCAGUGGCGAAGGCGGCUAUCUGGCCCGUUAUUGACGCUGAGGCGCGAAAGCGUGGGGAGCAAACAGGA